CCUACGGGAGGCAGCAGUGGGGAAUUUUGGACAAUGGGCGAAAGCCUGAUCCAGCAAUGCCGCGUGCAGGAUGAAGGCCUUCGGGUUGUAAACUGCUUUUGUACGGAACGAAACGGUUCGCCUUAAUACGGUGGGCUAAUGACGGUACCGUAAGAAUAAGCACCGGCUAACUACGUGCCAGCAGCCGCGGUAAUACGUAGGGUGCGAGCGUUAAUCGGAAUUACUGGGCGUAAAGCGUGCGCAGGCGGUUAUAUAAGACAGAUGUGAAAUCCCCGGGCUCAACCUGGGACCUGCAUUUGUGACUGUAUAGCUAGAGUACGGUAGAGGGGGAUGGAAUUCCGCGUGUAGCAGUGAAAUGCGUAGAUAUGCGGAGGAACACCGAUGGCGAAGGCAAUCCCCUGGACCUGUACUGACGCUCAUGCACGAAAGCGUGGGGAGCAAACAGGAUUAGAUACCCUGGUAGUCCACGCCCUAAACGAUGUCAACUGGUUGUUGGGUCUUCACUGACUCAGUAACGAAGCUAACGCGUGAAGUUGACCGCCUGGGGAGUACGGCCGCAAGGUUGAAACUUAAGGAAUUGACGG
rnacentral:rRNA from 1 species